GAUGAACGCUGGCGGCGUGCCUAAUACAUGCAAGUCGAGCGAACGGACGAGAAGCUUGCUUCUCUGAUGUUGGCGGCGGACGGGUGAGUAACACGUGGAUAACCUACCUAUAAGACUGGGAUAACUUCGGGAAACCGUAGCUAAUACCGGAUAAUAUUUUGAACCGCAUGGUUCAAAAGUGAAAGACGGUCUUGCUGUCACUUAUAGAUGGAUCCGCGCUGCAUUAGCUAGUUGGUAAGGUAACGGCUUACCAAGGCAACGAUGCAUAGCCGACCUGAGAGGGUGAUCGGCCACACUGGAACUGAGACACGGUCCAGACUCCUACGGGAGGCAGCAGUAGGGAAUCUUCCGCAAAGGGCGAAAGCCUGACGGAGCAACGCCGCGUGAGUGAUGAAGGUCUUCGGAUCGUAAAACUCUGUUAUUAGGGAAGAACAUAUGUGUAAGUAACUGCGCACAUCUUGACGGUACCUAAUCAGAAAGCCACGGCUAACUACGUG
rnacentral:rRNA from 1 species